CUUAAAGGAACUGCCUACGCAAGUAGUGAGGAAGGCGGGGAUGACGUCAAAUCAGCACGGCCCUUACGUCCAGGGCGUACACACGUGCUACAAUGGCCGAUACAGAGGGCAGCUAACCUGGUGACAGGAUGCAAAUACUCCAAAGUCGGUCUCAGUUCGGAUCGGAGUCUGCAACCCGACUCCGUGAAGUUGGAUUCGCUAGUAAUCGCGCAUCAGCCAUGGCGCGGUGAAUACGUUCCCGGGCCUU
rnacentral:rRNA from 1 species